rnacentral:rRNA from 1 species
UGUUCGCCAUUUAAAGUGGUACGCGAGCUGGGUUUAGAACGUCGUGAGACAGUUCGGUCCCUAUCUGCCGUGGGCGCUGGAGAACUGAGGGGGGCUGCUCCUAGUACGAGAGGACCGGAGUGGACGCAUCACUGGUGUUCGGGUUGUCAUGCCAAUGGCACUGCCCGGUAGCUAAAUGCGGAAGAGAUAAGUGCUGAAAGCAUCUAAGCACGAAACUUGCCCCGAGAUGAGUUCUCCCUGACUCCUUGAGAGUCCUGAAGGAACGUUGAAGACGACGACGUUGAUAGGCCGGGUGUGUAAGCGCAGCGAUGCGUUGAGCUAACCGGUACUAAUGAACCGUGAGGCUUAACCUUACAACGCCGAAG